rnacentral:rRNA from 1 species
AAUGAACGUUGGCGGCGUGGAUUAGGCAUGCAAGUCGUGCGAGAAUCCCCCUUCGGGGGGAGGAAAGCGGCGAAAGGGAGAGUAACGCGUGGAUACCUACCUUCAGGUUCGGGAUAGCUGCGGGAAACUGCAGGUAAUACUGAAUAACAUCUCCGGAUCAAAGGUGUGAUUCCGCCUGAAGCCGGGUCCGCGUCCGAUUAGCUAGUUGGUGGGGCAACGGCCUACCAAGGGUACGAUGGGUACGGGGCGUGAGAGCGCAACCCCGCCCACUGGGAAUGAGACACUGCCCAGAAACCUACGGGUGGCUGCAGUCGAUGAUCGUCGGCAAUGGACGCAAGUCUGACCGAGCGACGCCGCGUGCGGGAUGAAGGCCUUCGGGUUGUAAACCGCUGUCAGUUGGGAGGAAAUCACAUGGGGUUCUCUCCAUGUGUUGACCUAUCUUCAGAGGAAGGACGGGCUAAGUUCGUGCCAGCAGCCGCCGUAA